rnacentral:snRNA from 1 species
AUACUUAACCUGGCAGGGACGAUACCAUGAUUACGAAGGCUUUCCCAGGGUAAGGCUUAUCCUUUGUGCUCUGGAUGUGCUGACCACUGCAAUUUCCCCAAAUGUGGGAAACUCGACUGCAUAAUAUGUGGUAGUGGGAUACUGUGUUUGCGCUCUCCCCCC